ACAAUGGAAUCGAAACGAAGUUUCUAUUUGUUUGGAACAACAAAAUUAUCGUUUCUAUUUUAUAAGCAAUAAGGCCUAUAAACAAAACAAGGACUUACCUGACUUGCGCACAUAUAGUCUCUUAUAAAGUCUAAUGUAAAUGAAAGAGUCAAAAGUAUUUGAAAUGAAUUGUGAAGUGAUCAUUACAAACAGAGUACAGUCCCCUUCCGUCCGUCUGCUCUUGAUCUAGUCUCGACUUUUGGAAUGUAAUCUUAUU